rnacentral:rRNA from 1 species
UACGUAGGGGGCAAGCGUUGUCCGGAAUCAUUGGGCGUAAAGCGCGUGUAGGCGGCCAGGUAAGUCCGUUCUGAAAGCCCGGGGCUCAACCCCGGGAGGCGGAUGGAUACUGCUUGGCUCGAGUCCGGAAGAGGCGAGUGGAAUUCCCGGUGUAGCGGUGAAAUGCGCAGAGUAUCGGGAGGAAUACCUAUGGCGAAAGCAGGUUCUGGGCCGUCACUGACGCUGAUCUGCGAAAGCUAGGGGAGCAAACAGG